GGCCUCCCGCCUUUUUUCCCCAGGUGCUGCUCGGGUUACCGUUGGACGACGGACCGCGCGGCCAUUAGUUGAAAGGGACGCCCGGCUCGGUGACGCCACUUCCGGCGCCGCUCAAAGCGCGCGUGGAUUGUGGGCGCUGCUAGGGGCUUAUUAUCCGCGGGGCUAAUUUAGCACCUCCGUGACUCAGCUUUGACCGCGGCGGCUUCACCUGCCUCGGUCCCAGCUCCCACUCGCCUCCUUCCCUGACUGCUCGCGUUACAUGGGGUGCCCGGGCCCGGCUGCUGCCCUUCUGGAAUUCAGUACCUGGACGGAGUUGGGCUCAGUAAAUUGGGUAAAUAAACAAAAAAGAAAUGUGUUCUUUCUUCUUUUUUAUCCUUCAUAAUGGACCAAAUAUUGCCUACUUGCCAUAGACAUCUGCUGUCAAUACGUGCUGUAAUUUGACAUUCUGAAUCACAGACAUGAUGGCAUUGAAAACGUACUUAUACUUGUAAAAAGAAACCAGACAUCCCUUCAAAGUUUCUACACUACUUCUUAAACUGGACCUUUGUCUGCCGUUUAGGCCGGCAGAGUUACUUGAAUCUUCAGUCCAGGUAACGAGAAUAAUUCUGUGGUUGUAUUUUUCUGUAAUUAACUGAAAGAAUAAUUAAGUCAUAUUCUAGUAUGUUCUGAAAUAUUUACUGAUCUUACAAAUUGUAAUUUCUAAGAUGAUUUGCUCUAAGAUGAUUCUCCUCGUAGCAUAGUUUUAGUUUAUUUUGCACAUAUGUUUGAAACCGACUGCUGUAGGAAAUGAACAGUCCAUUCAAAAAAUUUCCUUUACUUUUUUCUGCCAAUGGACUUAUUUGAAAUUUUCACUAUAGUCAGAGUUUCUGUGCAAACAUAAAAGUAGCAAUUAUUUGAUUUUAAAUAGAUUUUUCAGAUUAUUGGUUAACACUAUUUGAAAGCAAGUUUAUGGGUAAUAAAAGUUAGUCAGAACUCAAUACAUAUGGUGUAGUUACCACCCAGUUUAAUAUGUAGCAAAAAUGUACACUUGCUAUUUCUGAACUGUUAAUUUUUCUGCCGUAUUCCAACUGACUAGAACACCGUUAGGAAUGCAUCUUUAUAAAUGGGUACUACUUGAUGAUGGAAAUGAUUUCGUAUGGACGGUAUAGGAUGUUAAUAAUGAAGCCAUAUGUUUAUGUCUGAAUUUACAGUGUUCUUUUUUGUUUGUUUUUGCGGUACGUGGGCCUCUCACUGUUGUGGCCUCUCCCGUUGCGGAGCACAGGCUCCGGACGCGCAGGCUCAGCGGCCAAGGCUCACGGGCCCAGCCGCUCUGCGGCAUGUGGGAUCCUCCUGGACCGGGGCAAGAACCCGUGUCCCCUGCAUCAGCAGGCGGACUCUCAACCACUGUGCCACCAGGGAAGCCCUGGAUUUACAGUUUUAAACAAUCAUUUACUAAGUCAUUUUGCUUUUAUUUUGAAGAAUAUAAACUGUUGUUUCACUUACACAAAUCAGCAAGAUCUAAUUUAUGGCAAGAAAUAUUCCAUUGACAUGUUGUGCUGUAACGUGGGAAAAUGUAAAUCUUUUUCACGGUUUCUAUCAAAGUGAAAUAAAAUUUAAUUCUGAAAAAAAAAAAGUCAGUCGCGCUGGGAAGAACAUUGGUCGACUGAUUUCUUACUUGAAACACCUAUCUUUCCAAAGAUUAUGACGAGAAGAAGGUUUGAACAAAUAAUGACAUUUCUUCACUUUAAUGAUAACUCAGAAACUCCACUUCCUGCAGACAGAAUUUCAAAGUUAAACCUCUUUUGGAUUAUUUUCUGCCAAAAUUUCAGUUGUUCUAUGUGCCCAAACAAGAGCUAUCACUUGAUGAGGCAAUGAUAAGGUGGAGAGGACAACUCAGAUUCAAAACCUGUAAUCCUGGAAAACUUACAAAAUACAGAAUUUUGGUCAGGAUGGUUAGUGAAAGUGAAAUUGGAUAUAUAUGCAGCCUUGAGAUUUACAUGGGUGAAGGAAAGAAACUGCAAGAAACAAUAUUGUUGGUCCUACAACCUUAUCUUGGUUCAUGGCACCAUAUUUACCAAGACAGUUAUUACAACAGUGUGCUCACAUCUGAAAUAAGAGAGAAUCGUGGUCUACUAAACCAAUUAAAGGAGAAAUCUAAAAAUCUACAGCGGGGAGAAAUGACAUUCUUACGGAAGGGAAAGUGAUUCUUCUUAUAUGGAAAGACAAGAGGCUAGUCCUCAUGGUGACAACUAUUCAAGACACCUCCAUAGCAUCUACAGGAAAGGAAUGCAGGAGGACUGGCCAUCAGAUAACUAAGCCCACUUGUAUAUAAGAGUAUAAUAAAUAUAUGAAAGUUGAUCGAUCCAA